rnacentral:rRNA from 1 species
AUUGAACGCUGGCGGCAGGCUUAACACAUGCAAGUCGAACGGAGCGGCGUACGGGUGAGUAAUGCCUCGGAAUCUACCUGGUGGAGGGGGAUAACUACCGGAAACUACUGCUACUACCGCCUACCAUCAGAUCGGCCGAUGUGGGAUUAGCUAGUGGGGGGGGUAAAGGCCCACCAAGGCGACGAUCCGUAGCGGGUCUGAGAGGAUGACCAGCAACACUGGAACUGAGACACGGCCCAGACUCCUACGGGAGGCAGCAGUGGGGAAUAUUGGACAAUGGGCGAAAGCCUGAUCCAGCCAUGCCGCGUGUGUGAAGAAGGCCUUCGGGUUGUAAAGCACUUUAAUCGGGGAGGCGGUACCUGAAGAAGAAGCACCGGCUAACUCCGUGCCAGCAGCCGCGGUAAUUC